GCUCUGAUUUCCGAACGUUUUCAGUGUGAAAUGGUUGGUGUGUUGUGAAUUUAAGGUUACGGAACAAUAUGCAAAAAAAAACCGUCGCCAGUUUGGUACGUAGUAAUCUUUUACAUAUAUAGUAAUUAUCUAUGUUACAUUUUAAUUAACUGAUUAAAGUAUUCAUUUUAAAUGUAUUACUCAUAAUUGUACAGUUUCGUACGUAGUAAUCUUUUACACAGUAAUCUACGUUACAUUUUAAUUAAUAGAUUAGUAUUUAUUUUAAUUGCAUUACUAAUAAUUGUAUAAUAUUGUUUACAUUAGUAGGAAUUGUUAUGUAGCAACAUAAUCUUAUAAAGUUUGCACACACAUGUAUUAUAAAUUUGGUUACAAAAUAUUAUAUUACUUAAAUAAAAAUGGACAGCGAACACCGUCGAAAGAUAAUUGUUGCUGCAAUCGCAGCAACAGUUGGACAUAAUUUAUUAAGAUCGAUUGUAAAAAAAAUACAGUAUGAGGAAAGUAGUGAUGAUGAUUUUGACAAAUGGAAUAAAGAAGCAAACACGGUCGAACUACGGAUUCGUUCUCGGAGAAAUUUAAGACGAAUUACGAGAAUUAAACAUUAUGUUACCACAACAGUUCCUAAUUAUACAAGAAGGCAGUUCAAAGAACACUUUCGAUUAAGUAUUGAAACUUUUCAAAAUUUAGAACAAAUUUUGGCACCUAAUUUAAUUAGAGCAGCAGAAAGUGGGCAAUGUACUUUAGAUGUACAAACACAAAUGCUUGCUGUUUUAUGGCUACUUGCUACUCCAGAUUCAUUCAGAUCUGUGUCUGACCGCUUUGGCAUCAGCAAAUCAUUAGUACACGAUUCAAUGAAAAGAGUUGUUGCUGCCUUGAACAAUAUUGCAGAUCGAUUUAUUAAAUGACCCAAGGCGAUCAAUUGAACGAGGUAAAACGUCGAUUUUCGGAAAUUGGAUUACUUCCUGAUGUAAUCGGAGCAAUUGAUGGAUGUCACAUUUCCAUCCCAGCACCAAAACUUGUGUUUUUGAAUGUUUGUAGAUUCAUUCAAUUUUCUAUAGAACACGAAAGAAAGAAUAUGCUAUUACCUUGCAAGCUGUGUGUAAUGCAAACCUUGUAUUUAUGGACUGUUUUGUCGGUUUUACUGGGUCUGUUCAUGAUGCUAGGAUUUUUCGAAAUUCUGAUCUCUGGCAUGCAGUAACAACAAAUAAAAAUGCUUUUUUUUCCUAAUAACGAAUUUAUCAUUGGCGAUAAGGCUUAUCCGGUACUACCGUGGUGCAUUGCUCCAUAUGUGAACAGAGGCAAUAUGACAGAGGCACAAAAGAAUUUUAAUCAGCAUCUAUCAAAAAUGAGGCAAGUAAUUGAAAGGAGUUUUGCCUUUCUGAAGGGAAGAUUUAGACGGCUCAAGUAUUUGCAUAUGAGUUGCGUUGAGCUUAUACCAUCUGUUGUCUUAGCAUGUUGUGUUCUACAUAAUAUUUGCCUCAACAAUUGUGAAGAAAAUUAUGACAUAGAUGAUUAUAUACAAGAUGGUUUAGAAGAUGUUAAUGAUGAUAUUAAUGAUGUUGAUCGUCAACAGUUUGAUGAUGAAAGAGGACUGAUCCGCCGCGAAUAUUUGACGACUCUUUUAGCAGAUAUAGGACAAUAAUUUUCAUGAGAUCAGAAAUAUCAGUUACAUUCGCUUACAAUAAAAAAAUUAUUAAUUAAAUUUGUUUCAAAUAUGUCAACAAAAGUACAUUGUAUUCACAGGUGUCAAAAUAAAACAUGAAAAAUUA